rnacentral:lncRNA from 1 species
UUUUUUUUUGCAGGUGAGGAUUUUGAGCACAUUGGUUGGCGAGGUAGGAUGCGGAUUAUUAUGGGACUAGCAUACUGCAUCCAACACAUGCAUGAGCUCAACCCUCCAGUGGUGCACCCUGACCUGCAGUCCAGUUCCAUACUGCUCUCUGAAGAUGGUGCUGCAAAGGUGCAUACUCCUAGUCCUAUAACCUAAGCCUUAUUUCCAUUUUGAAAUUUUUAGACCCUGCACUUUACCAGAUCGAUCCAGCAUCAGCGCAUGUUGAGCUGUUUAGCAUCAAAGUGAAGUAACUAUCUAUCAACUUGAUCCAACCUGAGUGCUUUCUGCAGAUCGUUGACAUGAGCGUUUGGCACGAAGUGAUUUCCAAAGGGAAAUCGCCGACAAAUGGUGAGCUUGACCGUCACCAUGAACAAGUGUCUGCUGCCCUAGCAGGGAACGUAUAUAGCUUUGGUGUUAUACUGCUUGAGAUCAUCUCGGGGAAGCUUCCUGAACCUGCACGCGAGCGCUCACUCGUCAGCUUGGUAAUGAUAUUAACGAAGGAACAUCCUGUUAACUGAAAAAAAAAGAGAUCAUCUUGAAAAAUCAAAUGAUGCUGUGUUUCUCCUUCCUAGGCUCUGGAGUGCAUAAACAACGGUGACCGGAGCAUGGUCUCUCUGCUUGAUCCUACACUGAAGGAUCAUAAGGAAGAAGAGCUAGUAGUCAUCGGCAAGGUGAUCCACGCUUGCAUCCAGAGUGACCCGAUGAACAGACCGAGCAUGAGGGAGAUCACUGCCAGGCUGAGGGAAGCCAUAGGCAUCUCGCCAGUGGCUGCGACGCCGAGACUGUCUCCGCUCUGGUGGGCAGAGCUGGAGGUUCUUUCGACCGCGGAAGGAAGCUAAUCAUUGGCGAGAAGGGAUGCUAUCCAUCCGAUGCUUUCUGAAGAAAACACCCUGCAGGCUCACGCUGUGCAUACUUCUACGUUCUAAGCAACCGUUGUGCAUGCAUCCAGCACGUCAACUGCUGUGACAUGCCACCUGGUGUAAAUGUAAAAUUGUAGAAAUAGUUAUCCUCGUGGAUGCUUGGCAGUGCCUUUCCUUGCAUCAUGUGUCUGAAUUCUGAAGGUGCCAUCAGGCAUCAGAAAAAAUGUGCUAGCAUAGCCGUAGCUAGUGUUUUGCCAGCAUAUAUUAGCAUAGCAAAGUCAGACCAGCACUCUCAGUGUUAUGCUCGAGGUAUUUGUCCCUGGCCAGGCAGGCCAAAGAGAGCUUCUAAAGGCCACGCCGCCCGCCAUCGCCGGCAGCCCGGCACAUAAAAAACUCCAUGAUUGAUGCCGGAAAGUAGAAAUCUGACCUUGGGGGCACUAGCAGACGACACUAUCCGCAUUGUCUUUCUCUGGCCAGCUAUUAUAAUCCAAGAUCAGGCCGCCUAGAACACUCUCCUGUUUCCAGCACAGCUGAGUGAACAGUGGAACACAUGAGUGCCGCCCCCAUGCAGAACGUCUGCAGCCAGCCAGAUGGAAUGGAAUCCAACCCAAAACUUUUCGCCUCAAAUGGCCCAAACUUCCGCUGUGGUGAUGAACUGAUAAUCGUCUACCGGCCAGCUAGUCCGUCAGCUCGCGUCACGCAGUGAAGCGAACACUCUUCCUUCCUUGAUGUCCUCUCGAGAACGAGCAAAUGACGACUGGUCAGCUGAGAGCGUUUCUCCGGCGACGGCAAGUAAGCGAGCGUGGGCGGCCGUGAACGGGGACUCGCACUCGCCUGAGAAGAAGGCAGCGACCGGUGACCAGAUGUGCCUGCAGGAUCGAGUAGGUUGUAAGGCUGUAAGCAUCCGUUUUCCCGAGAAAAUUCAACUCCAGUUUCUAGUGCUCCAUCUAUUGGGUGGGCGGCGCCAACCAAGCGGUGCGUCACCACACCCAUAGACCCACUGGCACGUCGGGCCACAUGUCACUCGGAACCACCCGCCCCGCCUGCCCGGCGUGACGGCGUCGCCGCCCAGAACCAGACAGCCAGUGCUCUGGGCACACAUGGGCUCCUGCAUGCGCGCCACCUUUCGCCACCUCAUACGCCCGGCCGGCGCGCGCCCGCAGCCGUCCGUUCGCCUCCGCUCCACGGCUCCGAUGGCGCGGCCGCACCCUAUAAAUCCCACCGCCCACGCGUGGCCGUUGACACUUGACACAUACCACCUCCCGGCUCCCGCCCGCCGCGCCGCGUGCGCGGUGCUGCCUGUGACCCCGUUUGGGGAAGGAAUGGAGCUGGAGGCCGCGACCCAGCGGUUCCAUCUCUGGUUCCGCGGGCUGCGCUCGCUUCGCCGCGACCUCAGCUCGGCCCGCUGGUCCGACGAUCCGGCCCAGCUGGAGGCACUGGUGGGCCGCUUCGUGGCCCACCUGGAGUCCUACUGCGCGGCGCGCGCGGAGCUGGACCCGGUGUGGACGCUGUCGGCGCCGUGGGCCAGCCCCGCGGAGCGCGGCGCCGCGUACUGGCUCGCCGGGUGGCGCCCCACCACGCUGGUCCACCUGCUCUACACGGAGUCCGGCCGCCGGUUCGAGGCGCAGCUGCCGGACCUCCUCCUGGGCGUGCGGUCGGGGAACCUGGGCGACCUCAGCCCGGCGCAGCUGGCGCAGGUCGACGAGCUGCAGCGGCGCAUGGUGGCGGAGGAGGACGCGCUGUCGCGGGAGAUGGCGCAGGUGCAGGAGGGCCACGGCGUGGUGGUGGCGGCGGCGCCGUCGCCGUCGGGGGAAACCGAGCUGGACGUGCGCGGGCUGGUGCGCCGGCUCAGGGCAGUGCUGGACAGGGCGGACGCGCUGCGGCUGCGCACGAUGAAGCGCGCGGUGGAGAUCCUGCAGCCGGCGCAGGCGGCCGAGCUGCUCGUCGCCGCCGCCGACAUGGAGAUCGGCUUCCGGGAGUUCGGGCUCAAGUACGGCUCGGGCCGCGACGGAUGAGUGUUCUGGAGCUCCUCGCCACCCGAUUUUUUCCAUCAUCCGAUUUGGUCCCCAAUCGAGCUCCAAUCCGUCCGAUUCGAGAGUCCGCGAGGUCACCUUCCCUGGCCAUCACGCUCCCUCCUCGCUCGGCGGCGUAAGCGUAACCCAGUUUUUUUCUCCAUCCACGAUAUUUUUCGUGGUGGUUGUUUUAAUUGGGCCUUCUCGCCGAGUGGCUAAUGGGCCGUAGCAGGGCAUGCGAAAAAAUAAUAAUAAAAUGCACGAGAUUGCCCGCCGGAGGUUUUUUUUAUGAGAAGUUGCCUUGCCUCUUGCUGUUUUUAGAGGACCCUUCUUGCUACUUGUGGCGUGCAAUGUCGGAACUUUGAAGGCUUCGUGGUUUGAUGUUCGCUUUGCUUGCGAGUUGUAAUUCGUGCGAAGUGCAGCGCAUAUUCAGGUUUGGUUUGGGAGGGUUUUAGCUUCGGUUUCUCCACCAGCUGAAGUUGGAGCUCUGCCAAACGACGACGAGAUGGCGAAUGGCUAUGACGAGAUGGUGAACGGUUUCGCAGAGAAGCUCCACGAAUCGUGCUGAUUGAAGCUAUUCGACUGGGAGGGAGUCGGAAAAAGUGGCUUCCCGUGGCUCCUCAUCAUGUCUUGACAUCCAUGUCCUUGGAAGAAAGAGGUGGGGGAGGGAGGCGGAGAGCAACGGCAACUCAGGCCUGGUUUGGUUCCCCUGCUUAUUUUUAGCACCCGUCGUAUCGAAUGUUUAGAUACUAAUUAGAAGUAUUAAAUGUAUACUAUUUACAAAACCCAUUACAUAAGUGGAGGCUAAACAGCGAGACGAAUCUAUUAAGCCUAAUUAGUUCAUGAUUUGACAAUGUGUUGCUACGGUAAAUAUUUGCUAAUGAUGGAAUAAUUAGGCUUAAUUAGGUUUAAUAGAUUCAUCUCGCUGUUUAGCCUCCACUUAUGUAAUGGGUUUUGUUAAUAGUCUACGUUUAAUACUCCUAAUUAGUAUCUACACAUUCGAUGUGACACGUGCUAAAAAUAAGCAAAAGUAACCAAACGCCCCCUCAGGGAGGUGCCUGGUGGCGCGGGCGUAGGGAGACGGGGUGGGUGGAGGCGACGGAGAAGUGAUAAGGCAGAGUAGAGAACGGAUAAAGGAGAGAGAAUGGGAAGUAAAGAGAAAAAAGAAUGGGAAGGGAAAAGAAAAAUAAAAGAAGAAAAAGAGAAAAGAAAAAAGGUAUUACGAACAUUUACUCUUUCUAUCCAUUUUAAACAUCUAGCAGAAGUUAUCCAUUUUAAACAUCUAGCAGAAGUUGUUUUGCCGAACGUUUUUUCAACCUGACCAGCCAAAGUAAAAAAAAAGCUAUUUCACUUGAGAGGCAACAGCUGAAGUCGAAAUAGCUACAACCCUGCUAAACGAGACCUUAAACUAUCCUGUUUACUUCUGCUGGGUUGUGGCUUGGAAUUUACCUGCUCGUGGCCGAGGAAGGAAACCCUUCACUGAACCUACCAUUCUUUUAAGUUUUAACUGAUGCUUUUAACGCUCUUCAAAUGUAACCGCAAUACGAACCGCGGUGAAACAUCUGCAUAUUUAUUCCGCCGUACUCUUUCCAUCCACGAGACGGGGCAAGGCACGCCACGCGGGAGCAGGACGACGGGAGGCCAACGCCAAGUCGCCAACGCCGCCUUGCACGGCUCGUGACAUUAUCGGCACGAGCAGCGGAAGAUUUCGCGAGCCGUGCUUCCAAAUUAAGGCGUGCAUGUUCUUAUAUUUGGCGGGUCAGCCAGCCAACCGGAGCCCGGCGGCCGCGCACGAUAGAAAAAGCCUCGCGCCGCAUGCUGGAAACGUUGCCGUUUUCCAAGCUGCGGGAGGGAAAAGGGACGGACAGGAACCCAACAAUUUCUGCUCCGCCUGCCACCCACGAACAGCGAGCCACCGCAGCCCGCCAGCAGAUCGCAACGCCCCCCUCCUCGCCCCCCUGAAAUCUAGCCAGCCACCGUCCCCUCUCUCUCUCUGCCAAGAAAGGCUUCCACGUUGACAUCGCGGGUGGUGCUGUAGAGCGCGCGCGCGCGCGCCAGCCAUGCGCCCGUGAUGGCCCGGCCGUUCCAGAAGAUCGGCCACGGCCUCGAUAGGUUCUCGUUCAGGCGGCGGAGGUCGGCGUCCUCCUCCUCGUCGUCGUCGCGAUUGUCGCUGGCCACGGAGGGCACGGACACCUGCCCCAUGGAGGGGCCGCCGCCGCCGGCGCCUUCCGCCAGGCGGAAUCUGUCGAGGAGCUGUGGGUCCAAGGGGAGCCGGCUGUCGGUUGACCUUCCCCCACCGCUGGCCGGGGGGCCGUCGGAUAAGGCGGCGGCCGGGAGCUCGUCGUCGCCCGCGGUGCCGCCCAGGCCGGUCCGGCAUGAGGGCCCGCCCUCAGGUGACCAUUGCUCCUGGACUAUCGGCGCUUGUUUUGCGAUCUUCUGGGGAAAUGAUUUGAGUUUGAUGGGCUGCAGAUGCGGAGAUGGUGAAGGAGAAGUUCUCCAAGCUGCUGCUCGGAGAGGACAUGUCCGGCACCGGCAAGGGGGUGUCCUCUGCUCUUGCCCUCUCGAACGCCAUCACUAAUCUUGCUGGUAAUCCAUUCUCUCUUUCACGGAUCCUAUUGUUUCCCUAUUAUUUUCGAAAAAUCAUUUUCUUUCCUCCCGCGAUUCCACAAUCUGGGCCGUCCGUGGUUUCUGAUUCGUACUUUUAAUCUGAGCCAUCACUAAUCUUGCGGGUAAACCCUGAUUAACCUGGCGUUCUUUCUCGUGAUGACAUCUUUUUCAGCUUCCGUGUUUGGUGAGCAGCGCCGUCUGCAGCCGAUGGCGGCCGACCAGAAAGCGCGGUGGACGAAGGAGAUCGACUGGCUUUUGUCAGUCGCCGAUCACAUUGUCGAAUUUGUUCCUUCGCAGCAGGUGUCCGAGAACGGGACCUGCAUGGAAGUAAGAAAUUCCCAAUUUCAGUGCCUCUUGUUGUACUAUUCAGCUUCACUGUCACAAAUUCAAUUAUCCAAUGGUACAUACCAUUGCUUCAACUCAACUGCCUUGAAUUGACCCGUCUUCCUGUAAAACAGAUUAUGGUAACCCAGCAGCGUCAAGAUCUACAAAUGAACAUCCCUGCAUUGCGCAAGCUCGAUGCAAUGCUCCUUGUAAGCAUGGGCCUGCUCAUCUUGAUCUUCUACUGAACCAAUCAGAAGGAUAUCUGAGGUGCUAACUUUUGGCAUUGCAAAUUUCUCUCGUGGAACAGGAAUAUCUUGAUAGUUUCAACGACAAGCAGGAGUUCUGGUAUGUGUCGAAAGAUGCAGACGAAUCGGAGAAGGGCAAUAUGCCGAGGCAGGAUGACAAAUGGUGGCUCCCAACUGUUAGGGUCCCUCCUAAUGGUCUGUCAGAUGCAUACAGGAAAUGGCUUCAGCACCAGAAGGAUCUUGUUGCACAAGUGCUGAAGGCAGCAAUGGCCAUCAAUGCUAAUAUUCUUAUGGAAAUGGAGGUUCCAGAAUCAUACAUGGAGUCCCUACCAAAGGUGAUCCAUAAGACCAGACUGCUAAUGCUUGCCGUAUUCUUUUUACGACAAUUCUAACAAUAUAACUCUACCACCUUUUGUUGUUGUCUGCUAGAAUGGGAAGUCCACCCUUGGAGAUUCAAUGUACAAACUUAUAACUGACGAUUAUUUUGACCCUGAAGAACUUUUAAGUUCUGUAGACUUGUCUGAUGAACACAAUAUUGUUGAUCUGAAGAACCGAGUUGAAGCCUCAGUAGUCAUCUGGCAGAAGAAAAUGACCCACAAGGACAGCAAAUUGUCGUGGGGACAUGGGGUCAGUCACGAGAAGAGGGGAAUGUUUGAAGGGAGGGCAGAGAACGUUUUUCUCCUUAUCAAGCACCGAUUUCCUGGCAUUGCUCAAUCAACUCUAGAUAUAAGCAAAAUCCAAUGCAACAGGGUACAGAAAGCAUUCACAAUUCCCAUUGCCCUUUACAGAUAUGCUACAGUGCUUUGUGUACUCACAUACCUGAUACCUUGCAUAUGUCCCCUCUAAAUCUUUUCAGGAUGUUGGCCUUGCCAUUUUGGAGAGUUACUCUAGGACUCUCGAGAGCUUAGCUUUCACAGUUAUGUCUCGAAUCGAAGAUGUUCUCAACGCCGACUUGGCUGCUCAAGAUCCAAAGAACGUGGAUUCAAUGAGAAUCCUCAGUUUAACUUCAGACGACACAGAUAAGGUUGUCUCAGAUGCUAAGGCCGAGGUAGAGAAGUUGAGGAGAAUGGAACCAGUUACAGCGACGCUGUUCGACUUAGUGGGCCCACGGGACCAUGGCAAGGAGGGCGCUAACGGUCCAAAGCUGACAAAGAUCUCAUCAAUUGCAACCAAGAGGUUUUCUUACCUUGAUAAUUUGGGUGGAACAAGAAGCCCAAUAGCUAGACACUAGCUGAUAUAGGGGUGAGGAUAGAUGGAUCAUGCUGCCAGGAAGCCUUUGGAAGAAAAUUUGUACAUAGCACAGAUGUCCAAAGCAUCAUGACAUUUGGAAUUGGGGGAUUCUGAGGUUGUCUAAACUAACUCAGAGGAAGUUUUGGUGCAUGAGGCCAUGCCAAUGAAGUCUUGGCAUGCUUACAAGAAAUAGUCAUAAGAUCAAAACUCAUGAACUGACCCUCAAGGCCUGUGAGAUUUGUGCUUGUCUGUUUCGGGGGAAAGAUUGUAUUUCCCUAGUAGCACCUUGUUCAGUUGAACUUUAUUUCUGGGACAUGGAAAAUGGGGCAAAAAUCGUAUGACUUCCAUAAUUACAAAUCGCAGUGCUUACUAAACAAUAAAAGAUCAUUUCUGAGAGGAUAUGGAAAUGGAUACUAUUUUAGUCAUCAGCAUCUAAGCAGACAUGCUACUUUAUGAAACUGCAGCUAACCCUUGCCUACCAUAAUGGAAUGACUAAAGAGAAAAAUUCUAAAGCAAGCACAAACGUCUCAUAGUUCAUACUAGUCAUCACAUCAUAACCACCCUAACCAAGCCCUUAUUUUCUUAAUCACUUUAUUUGACACCUCCCAUCUUCGUUCCAACCUCUUAAGCUAUCCUUGCUCGAAAUGCUCUUCUUGAGCACUUUCCACAAAAAGUUAAAUGGACGACCAAUAGCUUGAACUUUCAGAGGUAAACGAGUUACCAGUGAAUUGCCUGUUUUUAUGUCAGCGAUCAAACAAAUUAUAUUCAUUUUCAAUCAAGGAGGAUACGCUUGAGGAAACAUUUUUCAGAGCAUCCAGAAUCUCUCUCCCAAAAAGACUUUCGAGGGCGAAUCUCCCCAUAUUCUUCUAAAACAAUGCAGCCCCAACCUUUUUCAAACAACCAAGGAAGGCAGGAACAAUCAAUUCUUUACUGAAGGUAACACAAAAAUAACACCUGGUAUAUUUUUGACAGUUAGCCUCUAGGGCAGGCAGAGCAUCCUACAGGGCAAAUCCAGGGAACAAGCAAAACUGGACACCACACUAAAGAAUUCUGAAGAUGGACAUUUUAUAUAACAUGAACAUCUAGUAUACGCUCAGGAAAGAUGCUGCAAGUGAAUUUUCAGACUUCAAUAUCCAAGUCAUGAGAUGACCAAAAGAUAUAUUCAGUAUAUAUGCAUCUUCUGGAACAAUAUCCUUCUUCGUUAUGGGAUUUGUUAGCAGAUAGCAAUUUGCACAGAUAUAGCAACACCAUAAAUAUGUCCAACCAGCAGGCUGCAAAUUUCAAAUACAAGCCACAUCAGAACACAACCCAAAUCAGGGACACCAAAACACAAGCCCUGUAAUGUGCCAACGCCCUUCCAUUUCACUGCUCAUGCGGAUGAUUAGAGUGUCUACAAAGGAGGAUCUUGGAGUUCAAACAGAGUACAAGCUCACCAUCACAUAUCCAGAGUGAACAAUCUGGCAAUAUAAUCCCCAGAUACGACAAAAGGCUACUCUUCGCCUACAGAUUACUUCUAACAACAGCUCACAUUCGAUGACACUAGGCUACAUGAACUAUGGAAUUAUCCUGCAUACUAGUAACUUAUUAGUGCAGCUGUCUUGCCAAUGCACUGCGCCGCGAUAAAACGCCGUUGGCAUCCCUCAAACUCCUUGCCCUUCUGUACUCGAUUUCUGCAUCCGAGCACGAAUGGCCAGGAGGAGAUUUCUUCCUUACUUCUAUGGGUUUUAGCAAUAUUUCAUCAGUUGCCUUUCUGAAAGGAUGGCUAUCUUUCACAAUACCCUCAUGCUCACACUGAUGACCUCCUUUUGUUCCUGCAAUGUGAGGAUAGAAACACAAUAAGCACUUGAUGAAACAUGACAUUAGCAAGGGAAUUACAAAUCUGUUCAUAUCAAAAUCUGGUGUGGCUGAUAAAAGACAUGGAGUUCAGCUUACAAAGUAGCGUUUCAAGUCAGCAGAUAAUUAUUUGGUGUAGUAGCAAGAAAUAUCUACAGUUUGAUCCUGCUAUGCCCAUAUACAACUGAAUGGUUGAAACAAAUAGUAAGUUAUUUACCUUUGAAUAUGUCCAAAUGCAGCACUUUAUUUGGAGAAUCAAUGGAGAGCUGGUUUGCUGAUUUCUUUGGACUUGUGCCAUCUUUCACAUAGACAAAUGAUUUAUCCACCUUCUGAGCCUCAUUAGGCAGAUCAUUAAAUGCGCAGAUCUCAGUAGCAGGAGCAAUGUUUCCAAAUGGUGAUAUACUGAAUGACUCGUCAAGCGCAUCUGGUAUCUCCACAUAAGACUGAGUUUGGACGAUUUCAUCUGCACUAAACCCAAAUGAGGCUCUGUAAGCUUCAAUUUCAUCAGCAUCUUGCUUCUCCCUGGAGACACUAACUCUCCCGCUGUUAUGUGGAAAUGUCUGCUGAGCCUGGUCCAAGUAGAAUUGAGCAGAUGCUGCUGGCCGAAAGAAGUUGCUAUCUAACAUGUAGUUUCUCGGGGUAGAUGAAUCCAACCCGAAAAUAUUGGCUGGUGAGGUCCUGGCAUAUGGUGUGUCACAAGCCGAUCUAGACGUCUUCCACUGCGCAGUGGCUUCUUGCUCAGGAAUGGGUGAAGCCCUGAAGUAUGGUGUGUCACAGGCUGACCUAGAGGUCUUCCAAUGGGCAGUAGGAACCUCUUGCUCAGGUAUUGGUGAGGAGAGACCAGUCCUCGGGGUUGCUGAAGCAGGUGAUAUGAGGCUGCUACAAGGGCUUUCAGGGUAAAGUGGGUAAGAUGCCUGGAGUCCUGAACCACCAGAAUAGGUUGUUGAUAAGAAAGACAUGUUAUGCUCCUUGCUGGCAGUUUUGAUAUCCAUAGAAGAAGAAAGAAAUCGAGCAUAUGGAACAUCUGGAGAGGAAGGAGUAGUUGCAUGAGCUAGUUCAGGUGGUGGGGUCAAUGGUGCUGUAGAUGGCUCAGUUGUGUAAGUUGAGAAGACAGGUGGCGAGACAAGUUGAGGUUCAUUAGCAUAUGGCCCAACAGCAAACAUAUUAGAUGUCGGACCACCAGGCGAGUUUGCAGAUACUGACAGGAAGCAAUUUGGUGACUGAGCAGUCGAAGCAAGUGCUGAGUUUGAGAAGGAUGCUGGUGAUGAUGGAGGAGCCAGAAGAGAUAGAUUCAAAGGCACAUUUUGGUUCGAAUUGGCACCAGAUUGGACACCAUUCCCACGAGUAGUUGAUCCGUUCCCAUCAGAACGUGCUGCUGGAACUAUUCUCUUCCCACCCUUCUGCAGUCCAAAACAUGAUAGGCCUGAAAAGCAGCCAGCCCAUCUGCUCCGCUGUUUAUAGUACGGAAGCACAUAUUAGUCCAAGCACGAUACUGUUGCUAGAAACAGAAAUAAAAUGUAUGGGUACUAGCUCAGCAAUGAAAUUUCAAAGGAUCAGUGAUCUCUGUCUGCACAUAAAAAAGAGCCAUUUUUACCUAUAAUUAUGGAAAGGGAAAUUGUAUAAUAAUAAGUAAACAUAAAGGGCAGUGCUACAAUAAAGCAUAAGAAAUGCUGUUUCACAAAAAUCUGAAGGCCUUCAAGUGGAAAAGGAUUUUUAUCAUACAACAGGAACAAGCUAUUUUGCAACUGACUUCAACUGUAAACAAUGUGUUCGAGUAUCCAGGGUUCCUAAAAUCAACAAUUCUGUAGUAUAUAGAUUAUCUGCAGGAAUAAAUACUAUUGCAAGAGCAAGACAGUGUUCUGGAACUGAAAAGAAUAAAUUAGGAGUGCCAAGUGCGUGCAUUUCAACAUCAGCAGCAAAAACAAAAGUCAAUUGAACAAAAAUAUCCAACAGAAGCAAGCAAGCAUGCAGUACUGAAGCCUAAUUAUUGGUGGUAAAGAUGCCCCAGUUUCAAGCUCUAACCAACUACUGGGCAGUACGAUUCGUACUAAGUACGCAAAGGCUGUGCCAAUCUAGGCCGUCAAGGCCUGCUAGAAAUUCCAGUCCUCACUCACACAUCUAAAGCAUGCGAGGCAAAAGCUGCAGCUAAAGCACGAAUCCGAUUUCAUGCGCCCAUGGAACAAAGAAAUCGCGUAGUGUAUGUACCCUGUCCUGCUGUAGUAGUUGGGAGUGGAAUCUGGCGUCGGCCGAACCUGCUGCCGUCGCGGCAGCACUGAUGGCAGCGGCACCAUUCGUCGCCCUGGUACCACUGCUGCUCCCAACGGAAGACAUUUCUGACUGUACCCACCGUUGCUCAGGAUCACAUGCUCCUGAAAAGUAUUCCCAGAUUUCUCCGGAUCCCACCUGAGUUCAGGAGCGGACCCAGUGCAGGACUGUGUACACCCAUAAUUUUUGCAAAAGAUCGAAGUUAGUAGGUGAAGUACAUGGUCAGAUCCGAAUGCAAAUAGCACACAUUAGGGCUUUGGGUGUUAGAUUUCGCACAGCUGGAAGGGGAAGGGAAUGGGCGGGUAUACCUGUCGGAUGCUCGUCGCCGGCGAAGCACCCGACGAAGAACUGGGCGAGGGCGGCGGCGCUCGCCCUGUCGUCGCCGCUAGGAAAGGAAGGCCGAGAGAAACUGGGGUCCGUUUAGCGCCGAUUUGGUGGUGGGAGAUCCGGCGAGUGCGGAGGUCGAUUUGGUGGUGGAAGAGCUCGAUUCGGCGGCAAAGGAGCUCGAUUUGGUGCUGGAGAACUUCGAUUUGGUGAGCAAACUUUGCCCUGCGUAGGCUGUUUCCAAACACGCCCGCGUGUGUGUGUGCGCGCGUGAGAGAGCGAGAGAGCGCUGUGGGGAGGGGGAGGACUGAAGCCUGAAGGAAGUGGCGAGGAGAAAGAAAAAACGGAAAGAAAACCCGUGCGACCCCGCUGAUGCGUGAUGCGGCCAGCGCGGCCCGUGUGUCUAGGCUAGCAAGACGGUGAGUUCGCUUCACCUGCAUGGCUGCGUGGGUUGAGUCAAAACACAGAAUAGGUGGGCACACGAGAACCGUUUUUUCCCCGGAUAAUAGCCAAAUUAGAUCACGAAAACUAUUUUUAAUUUGUUACUUUAAAAACUAUAUAAUUUAAAAAAUUAAAUGUAUAAUUAGUACAUGUUUAAAACAGGCGACGUGUAUUUCUAUUUACUCAAUUUUAAGAGUAGCAAGUGGGUGCGGAUGGAUCGGCGGAAAGAUACGUAACAAAAAAGAAAUGUCAUGUUGCAGGUGAUCUACCACGUUGGUUUAAGAGUGACAAUGUGUAAGCUAGAGGUGGUGAGUUUUCUUUGUUUUCGUAGGUUAAGCCAAACUAGAGUUUUUUUUUCCAUCACCUCUGAUGAAAAAUAAGAUGAGAAGUUUUAACAGAUAUUUGUAUCCUUUAUUUGGUUUGUGGGUUUUGUGAACAAGAACUGAUGGUUGUGAUGCAUCUAUCUUUCUAAAAUUUCAUUCUCUAUCUCACUAAAACUUCACCAAACAAAUAAGAGAUUACUAAACUCUCACCUUCUCGCCUCUAGAUUUCUAUCUCAUACCACAAAUUACGCCUAAAUCCAAGCUGUUAUAGUUUUUUCAAUUGUAGCUGAACUAAACCACGAAAGCUAGUAUGUACUAAUUGCUUUAAACUAUGAUAUAGCUCAUCGUCAUGUUUCUGUUUUUAAUUUUCUUUGCAUUUCUGUAAUAUUAAUGAGGCGCGAGAUAAAAUGAGACAUAAUGUAUAUGUUUCAAAUAUGUUCUAUUUGUAUCUACUGUAAUCUUAUGCUAGUGGUCUACAUGAGUGCAAUCGCUUGUCUUACAAUGAUUUUUGAGUUGGGGCUAUACGUUUUAAGUCAUUCAAUCUGUUAUCUUUAUGUUAAAUGGGUUAUUUCACCUCCUAAAUCUUGUAAAAGUCAUUGGAUCUGUUAAUGAUACUCUUGCCAGCUAGCUCACGAUAAGUUGGAAUGUUACCCAAUCUAGCUCAAGCUACUAAAGAACCAAACCGAAACGCGAGACGAUUUUUCUGCCUCGUUGCAUUAAUAAUCUAGCCGAAUCAAGGCGCUAUUACACAACAUCAUCCACAACACCCCAUCUAUAUAGAUCUCACGACUAUUCACAAGAUUACAUUCUAAUGCAUAUGCUAGAAUAGUGAUUUUGCAAGAUGAAUACUCCAUCUGGACGUUUAAGCCGCAGCCCAGCUUUGUGCCUCUAAAAUUCGGUAAGUAGCUGUUUCAAUUCCAUAUGGACGGCGCACCAACUUAUAACUGAACGUGUCCUUAUUAUUCUGUUCUCAUUUAUGAUCAUGCCCUUCUCGGACUUUUGUCCAAAUAGAAAGCCGCACGAACCGUGCUACAUACACUUGCAUUGGUUCCCGAACUUCCAAUAUAAUGGAUCGGAAGGAAAUAUACUGCUCACUCCUAUAAUGUUGAGACUGAGACAUCAUCACAUGAUGAUACAGAAGAGCUUAAUGGUCCUGACACCAAUCAACGAGGGAGAAGAUGAUGGAAUGAGCAAAUCAUCGAAUGGUGUAGGUCACAGCAGCAGGCAAGUAUAGACAACCUCAGCACUCGCCAUUGAAUCAACGUAUAAUUAUGCGAAAACAAAGAGCGUACUAGCUUCUUGUCUGAUGUUGGUGGUCCUCAUCACAAUUGCUUUUACCAAAAAAAAAACCCUCCAUAUCUUUGUAUAAUUUUUUUGUAUGCUUUGUGCUAGUAUCUGGCUCUAGUAGACACUAAAAAGGACUUUCUCUAAUAAAAGUAGAUGCAAUACAGGAGGCCCAGUAGAAUGCUCCUUUUAGUGUUGGACCCCAAAGGCCCGUGUGUAAACGGUUGGGCUCCAUGCUCUGGUGACCAAGAAAACUACUACUACACCCACGGACUCAUAACACACUCUCUACAAAUUGUUAACUCCGCUAUCAAAAUGCAAAAUUUGCAAACAACCCGAUCAUAGUUUAGGAGCUAGAGGCAUGUACGCACUUGAUGUCCAUCUAUUGAACAUUAUUGCUGUAAUCACAGGGAUCAUAUAAAACUUAUGUAAAAAGCGAAUUGACCUCACUUGGGCUCAAAAAGCAAGUACUGACACGAUCAUCAUCACCAUCAUUCCCGUGCCAGGAUGAUGGAGCCAAAGGCGCGCGUACGUUAUACAGAGUGGCACGGUCAAAAAGGGCAGCGCGCGCCCUCGGCUCGGCCCCCCUCGUUUCGCGGGUGGUGACGAGGUGGCCUCCACGUGACAGCUUUUGGUAGUAGCCCUAGCGCCUCCUUUGGUCUCGUCGUCCCUCCCAUCGACAAUGACGCAGCGCGCGUUCGUAGCUCCCACCACCAGCAGGCAGCAGCAGCGAGAGCAACCUUCCUUCUCCACAUGCGUGCAUGCUUGAUUUGAUGCUCCGUUCUGGCCGGGCGACGAACGAAGACCCAACGCUUUUGCCUGAAUGGAUGCGCAGGAUGCUCAUUGCUCAGAGUUCAGGCGGCUACUGCAUUCAUGCACAAGUGCAAAAGCCAAGUAACUGAUGGACGAGACGAUGGCGGCACAUUCGCGACACCAAUGCGUUCUCCGCAGCACAUGCGUGGUGCGUGCCAUCACCAACGACGUGCGACGACCCGUCGCGAACGUGGAUUCUACUCGUAUCGAUGCGUGUUCCAGCGAGAGGAGGGAAAGGCUUGAUAGAGGGAGGGAGACAAGCAAUGUCGCCGUCGCCGAAGACUUUGGGCUGGGGAAUUCCAAUCCUCCGCGGCCACCCGGCCGGGCCAGCCCCGAUGCCACUAGCUCUAAUUGAGGAUACGGGUCUGUUUGCAACAGUUGCAGUUCCGGGAUCCUAGUUGGAUAUGAUGUUUAUAGGUUAAAUUAAAAUAGCUUAAAUAAUUAGAUUUAAACAGUACAUAAAAUGAUUCAAAUGUUCUAAACGUACUUCUAGCUCCAUAUCUAGGAUUUUUUGAGCUACGGAUACACUACGCUAACACCGACGGUGCAAAAAACUCGGAGCAUGUGAGAAAAAAAAAAGUAGAUUCAUCGGCUCCCGAUCGAUUCAUUUUCGUCUUGAUUCUCGAACUAGCUCCUUACUGCAAUGUCAAAGUAGGUGAACCUAAAGUCAGAAGGAGUCGCGCUAAACGGAUCUCAUUAGUGCGUUAGUCACUACUACAAAAACAAUUUGUAGGGGUGCCCUGUUUUAUCUAGGGGCGGGUGAAAUUGCCACCCACACCUACAAAACGGGAGCAUUACUGUAGCAUCCGGCUCGCCCCUAGAGAACCAUUUGCAGGCGCGGACCAUGGGACGCCCCGCCCCGCCCUUGAAAAUAGCAUCUAUUUCCAGGACGGGUGACAGUAUCACCCGCUCCAGAAAAUGAUUUCCAGGGGCGGGUGAUAACGUGGCCCGCCCCUAGAAAUGGUCCCGUGAAAAUAAAUUUAUAACUUUUUCAUAUGAUCUUGGAUGAAGACAAACUUCUAUCAAAAUUGUAUAGCUUGACGAGAGCUAAAACUUUGUAGUUCAAAAGUUUUUCAUUUGAGAUUGUUUAGUACUUCAAAGUUCUCUAGUUUUGAAAUCUAAAACUAAGUUUCAAAUGACUUCGGCUAUACAUAAGCUCUAGAUCAAACUUGUAGAUCUAAAACUUUGGAGUUGAUAAGUUUUCUAUUUGAGAUUGUUUAAUACUUCAAAAUAUCAAUAUAAAGUCUCUAGUUUUGAAAUAUAUUUUUUUGAAUUUUCAAAUGACUUCGACUAUAGAGAAGCUCUAUAUCGAAAUUAUAGAGGUCGAUGAAACCAGACACUUUGAAGUUGGCAUGUUUUUCAUUUGAGAUUAUUUAUUACUUCAAAAUAUUAUUAUAAGUUCUUUAGUUUUGAAAUCUACAAAUUUUAAAAUUUUCAAACGCUUUCUGUUAUAGAGAAGCUCUAUAAGAAAGUUGUAACACUCAACGAGAUCUAAAUAUAUAUAAGUAUAUAAUAAAUAAAUGAGUACAUGCGUGAGUAUAUGUUAAUGUAUAAGUAUAUGUGAAUGAGUACGAUAUCAGAUGAAAAUAAACUUUAUAUUAAAGUUGUAGAGCUCGACGAGAUCUAAAAUUUUGUAGUUGACAACUGACGGGUCCAUAGACCCGGUGUCCCCAAUGGAACCGCCUUUCCACAACGCUUGGCCCAACAAGAGGCACAUCGACAAUGCACGCCUGGGCCGGUCCAGAUAUGUGACGCCAGGCCGAGACCUUGAUCCGGCCACCGACCGACGCCUCCGACCAGGUACACUGGGGAGACCGCCCACCAACAUCGCCAAGUACACUGGGGAGACGAACCCCGAUGUAUGGCUCGAAGACUUCCGGCUUACCUGUCAAGUUGGUGGAGCGGAUGAUGAUUCCAGUACCUCCCCAUCUGCGUAGGGGAGUUCGUUUGGGCAUGGCUCGAAUUUCUCCCACCCGACAGCAUCCACGGCUGAGCGGACCUCAAGAAGGUCUUCGUCAGGAACUUCCAGGGGACGUACAUCCGUCCCGGGAACUCCUAGGACCUCAAGAAUUGCAAGCAGGAGCCCAACAAGUCCCUGCAGGAUUACAUCCACAGGUUCUCUAAGCAGUACAACUCCCUUCCUGAUGUCGUCGACGCAGACGUCGUCAGCGCGUUCCUCUCCGGGAUGACCUGCAAGUCCCUGGUCCACAAGCUUGGCUGCGUGAAGUCGUGGACCACCCGCGACCUACUCGACAUCGCCACGAACCACGCCUUCGGCGAGAAGGCGGUCGAGGCGGUCUUCAGCGGUGAUUGGGACAUGGGCAAGGUCAAGCAUGAGGUCCAGGACGAGGGCCCCUCCGCGCAGCAGGACAAGAAAGACAAGAAGGACCGUACACGGUGGCUGAGGUGAUUCGACCAGACGCCUACCGACUGAAGGAUGACGACGGCAACAUCCUCACCAACAUAUGGAACAUUGAGCAUUACGUCGUUUCUUUCCAUAACUCAGAUUUUAACAGUCAUUUCCAUUUGACACUCGCUCCUAUAGCGCCCCAGCCCGAGCACUCUCGCCCUGGGUCGCUCGGAGGCUACACGGGGGUGUGGUACCACUCCCUCCUUGCUUUCGUGUAAUCACGCACCGCGCCCAAACGAAAGGGCGUCCCGUUCCUCUGACUACCCUAAGUAACUUACGCUUCAGUCCCCCGACCGAUUGAACCCCACCACGACCUACGGUUAUGAGCAGCUGAGCCUCGUGGGCCAUGCCCGAGUUCUAAAGGUUGCAUCCUACAGUCAACAGGCUGGUUUGAAAGGAAAAGGGCAAAAAGCAGAAUUACUUAAGGGCAAAAACGAGGACGGGCGGGACAAGCUCCCCUCCACGAUUAAUACAAUCACAAAGAACUUAAAUUGUUCAUUCGGGGGCACUCAGUCCCCCGCAAAAUUCAUUAUAAUACAAAGAACUAACUACUUAUAUGGAAUUUUACUACUGCCACCGAGUCGGUUGGACGACUCGGGCAUUUGGUAAGAGACGGGUAAGGAGCAGUGGAAUGCCACACGAAGGCUACGCCGACCCCGUCACGAACAACGGAUCCGGAUUCCACUCGGGCAUGUCCGUUAAAAGCUCCUUGAGCCUGUCACUCGAGCCAUCGAGGUAAGUGGCGUCGGCACAACCCCUCCGGUUGCGAAAACCGCAGAUGGGGUGAUGCCUAAAAACCCGACCGAGGUAAUUUUAUCGACCCUUGGUUUUCUUUCCCAUUGCAAGAGCAUUCAUUCAUUCAUCCAUCUCAUGCACACAUGCAUUCAUUCAUGCAUUCAUUCAUUCAUACAUCUCAUGCAUACAUGCAUUCAUACAUUCAUCUCAUACAUAUAGUCAUUGCAUUACAUUGCUUUGCGUCGCGUCACAAAGCAAUAGUUGGCUCAUUCAAAAUGAGCCGCGACCGACCGAGGUUUGAAGGCCAGUCUGCGAAGGACUCGAGGCCACCUCGCGUCAAAUGGAGCCAGAGGGAAAAGCAGAUGAGCCCCAGUGGCCUCCGUCCAACCCACUCAAAAGCGGACAAGGUUAUAUCAACUUCUCCUUCGAUCCUGACCUUGAGCCAUGCCCACAGAAUCUCCAUCGAGGAGAGCCAGCGGGCCACCCAAGUCGGUCAGACGACUCGGGCAUCUGCUGGGAGGCGGGUUAAGGAGUAGUGGAAUGCCACAUGAGGGUUAUGCUAACCCCAUCACGAAUGAUGGACCCAGAUUCCACUUGGACAUGUCUGUUAGGAGCUCACCGAGCCCGCCACUCGAGCCAUCGAGGCAAGUUGCGUCAGCUCAACCCCUCCGGUUGCGGAAACCGUGGACGGGGUGAUGUUGGAAAAGAUGCGACCGACCCCGAUCAAGCCCAACGGGGCUUGGGGGCUCGGGCCGCUAGAUCCUGACUUGGGAAUCCUACCGACGACACAGGUCGUGGUUAGGAACACGCACAGACAGACGCCUCGAUUUGCAAUAGGGAUCGCCUCAUACCGACCUGUGGGGACACAAAAGUCCGCAACCUUGGAAAGAUUCAGCCUCCGAUCGACUCCCCAGUCGGUCGCAGGCUCGGGGGCUAGACCCACCGGGUGCGCGAAGUCCCCCCCCCUCGAGGGUUGGGCGCCCAUAUCUACUCGGCGUGCCUCCGCGGCCUUCGCCAGUCCUUUCCUUGGGGGCUGGGUGCCUAUAUCUACUUGGUGCCCCUCCGCGGCCUUCGCGAGUCCUCUUCUCGAGGGCUGGUACCAGCUGUGGCGGAACCGCUCAAAUUAACUUAGCUAAAGCACAUUUAAGUCGCCUAAGACACGAUCAUGUACUUUAAUCAAGUUAACUUGGUAGUCCGUCGGAUUUCAUCCGAUAAAUCACUUAACACAGGAUCGAGAAAGUAUAGCUCACACGAAGGUGAGUGGUUCUAGAGAUUACAAUAGACCAUCUAGAUUAAUCAAGUGCAUCAAAUUAUUACAAUAUCGAGUUUCAAAAUUCAAACAUAGUUUGUAGAGUUUCAAGAAACAGAAAUAAAUAGGUGGAAGCUAACGUCGAUGCAGGAUAUCAUGACGAAGCCAAUCAUGACAUGAAUGAUCCCGUUCCUUACCGUCCGAGUAGGGAUCCCACUCGACCGUCCAUCCAGGAGGAAGCUGGGGAGGCUAAGUGACAGUUGCAGCAAGCUCAGAGGCAUCAACAUCACCUGAAAGACAUAUGCCACAACAAGGCUGAGCGACUACCGCAACAAGACUUAACCGACCAUUGUUACUAAUCCACAAACAAUUAGACAUGCAAGCUUUUUAGCUCUGGGGUUUGUUUUUGCUAAAAGUGACUAGAGUAGGUCCUUACUUUCAAUAUUUUAGUCACAAGUUCUAAGUUCAUUUACCCGUCUACGUUAGCAACUAUACUAAACAAGCAUAGUUUCCCAAACAAUUUAUGACAAGCAUUAAUAUUAACAUCAUCAUCAAGUUUCAUUCUUACUCAGCGUAGCAUAGCGAUGAAGCAGUCCCAAUCUAUGAGAGGCAGAUGAAUCAAAUCGAAUUUCUUAACCAUGCAUGGCGAACCUAAUCUCACGACAUCCGCGCACCACGAAAGGUCGCUUCACUUGUCCGUCGUCCCCAUCAAUUCCCAGACCUGUGUCAGGCCCACUUUCCUUGGUACAAGGCUCCAUAGACCCGGCCUCUGUCGUUCUAUGAUCGUACUUGUUACCAUAUGCAGCCGCAAGGGAACUCCAUUGCAGAGACAGUGGAAUGAUCCGCUCACGUUCUGGUUCAAUCAGGUACUAGGCUUCCCCAUCCCAUACUAGGUAUGAGAUUAGUACUUUCAAACACUUGAUCACGAACACUAUCACAUCUCAACCUUAGUCCAAUUUCAUGUAGACAGACGGGGCAAUCCACCGACCUUCAAAAACAGUUCAUAGAGCCCUGCCCCGUCCAUCGUCCUUAUAGUUGUCACAAAAGGAAAGCAAACAACUCCUAUAACUCGCGAGUGACAGUCAAUCAUUCGAAUUUUACCGAGUCCUAUUAGGCAUUGCAACUACUCGGCUAUCAUACUAGUGUUCAGAUCAAAGGGCACUAAUUCAUGCAUGUACGGUUUCAAGCAAUUCCUAAAAUGUAAAUGCACAAUCAAAACGACCAAUAUAUAUUGCAAGUAUUUAAACAUAGGAAUCUAUGCUCCGGGGCUUGCCUUCACGCGGGGAGGUAGCAAACAGGUCUUCGGCUUGCUCGGGCUCGGCUCCGACGGGCGACAGAUCGGCUACGGCUCCUUCUUCUGGCGCCGGGUGAAGCUCGUAAGUCCCGUUUGCGAGGUUCAGCUCUACACGAAAUGCAAGGCAUCAAGUUAAUUUCCCAAACUUUCUCAUAGGAUGUAAAAUAUGAGUUAGUGCUGAAGAAGAAGUUAUAUUAGGGCCACGUUCACCUAAAUAAGGUUUUACACCUUCUUUAUCUAUAUAAAGAAGGUGGGGUGUGGUGCGAAGCUGGGGGUUGGUUUGAUGGCGAUUGCAUACAUAUAUGCACCUCAACUUUAUUACACUUUAGAUCGGAAAGUUAUCCUAUUUUUGAAUGUUUUUUUUGUAUCUCUUCCAAUAUUACCUUUAUUACCUUAAGGUAGCUUAUACAUAAACAUUUUUAUAGCAUACACCUUAAUGAAACUGGUCAUGAAGUUUUAACUGUGAGUUAUAGGGGUGAUACAGAGCCUUUGAUGAAUUUUUCACGAUUUUUAGUGAAGGGCAUCUUUUCAUCUUUUUGUGUACAUUUACCUUAUUUAUUCUUCCCUAAAUCGGAAAGUGGUACCUAUUUUUAUUUCUGGUGGGUUCCAUAUUUUUCCCACAAAUUACAUUACACCACUGACUUAUUCCAAAAGGUUUCAUAUUUUUCUCAGUUCUCGUUUAAUUGAUAUGCAAAAAGGCAAAAACAAGCUUAGACUUCCAUGACAAAAAUAAACAGAGGAUUAAACAUUGGAGCUGGGCUCCAAAUCAUUUUUCGAAGCUUCUACUAUCUGAAACAAACACUUGAGAGUUGGAUUUAACUUUUUAUCAUUUUUCUAUGAUUUGUUAUGAUUUAAAUAGCUUAAACAAGAAUUAAAACACAUAACAUUAGUUCUACCAAUGACAUGCGCCAAACGUAUUUUUAUUAAAAACUAAUCUUUAUACUGAGUCUAGCAAAAUUGGUUUGAUAUUUUUCUAAAUUUUCUACGAGCUUUGGUGAAUUUUCAAAGUUAAACAUAUAUUCUACCGAUAUAAAAAGAUAAAUUGUGGCAAACUUACGGUCUUGCCCCUAGAUCUACGGUUUUAUCGCGCAAAGAUCCCUGGUUUUAGCACUAAAGCCCCUGAUUCAACUUUCCCAAUCGCAAUUGGGUCCUUGGGCGCGGGCGGUGGCGGUUGGCUAAAAUUCCGAUGACUCGCCAGCGGCCUUGGAGCGGUAAGGGGUCGGGAAGGCUUACGGGCUCACCUUGGGCCGGUUUGAAGUAGUUGGGGGCUACGGGGAGGCUCGGUCGAGGUAGAACGCGAUAGCGGACAGUGUGCGGCGGCAGUGGCUAAGGGCGGCGGUGUUCUAGCGGCGGUGGCACUCUUCGUGGGAAACAAGCAGGCUCUAGAGCUGCGCGAGAGGGAGGCAAAGCGGCUGGUGGUGUCGGCGGGGUGCGGGGUUGAGCGGAAGUGGGAGCUCCACGGAGGAUCGAGCGGCGGAAGCAGAGAGCAAGGGCAGGGGAGCUUCGGCAAGGCAAGGGCGAGCGGGGAAGGGGGCACCGGCGGCGUUGGGCUUCCCUUUUAUAGGGCUAGGGCGAAGCGGCGAAUGAGGCGGGGCCGUGGCUCUGGCGAGCGGGACCGGAGGGGAGUCGGGGCGCUGCCACGGCCAUUAAUGGCGGGGACGCCAUUGGCGGACAGAGGAGAGAGGGUGGUGCGGCAGAUGAGGCGUGCAGGCAUGGGCGAAACGAGCAGGCGUGUGCAGUGACAUUGGCUUUGCCGGGACGCGUCACUGGCGAGACAGGGAGGAGUUGUCGCGGCUGGGGCUGGAGGCGGCGGUGCUCUGGCAGGCGGGCACGGGGGCACGUGUUCGACAGGGCAGCGGCGGGGCGUGCCCUCGGGCGGAGCGGGGCGCGGCACAAACAGGGCAGGGCGACCGCGUGCUCACUGGGCGCGGGGCGUGUGAGGCGUCUUCCUGCCGUGGCCGGAGACCGGCGGAAGCGCUGCGCCGGUGAGCGGCAUCCAUGUGGCGGGCGGCGAGCGGGGCGCGAAGCUCGCGGGCGCGGGCGCGCUCUAGCCGAGGGAUCCGCGGGAUCGUUUCGCCGGGCCGAUUUCCAAGCGCGAGAUCUUCCAAAUCUUGAACCCCACAACAUUAACUCCCUUUACAAAAGAUGUAGUCCUUAGGCGAAAGUCCAACUUUUGUAAUUGAACUGAGUUCAAAUUUGCGGUGGAUUUGGAGAUUCGAAACUCCAAAGUUUGGAGGAACGCCAGUUUCCUGGACUUAGGCAAAAACAGCAGCUUGGCUGUUUUCAGGGUGUUUGGCUGACUUGAGCUGCAGUUUUGAAAAGCUUCGGAAGCGAAUCGGACUAGAGUCCAAUUGACAUAGUUGUGGCAUAAGAUUAGUUCUCAAACUCUUAUAAAAGAUUUUUUUGAUGUUUGGUUCAAUUUUUGAGAGAUAAACUCAUGCCAAGAUACAGGAUUGAUCUGAUUUCUAGACUUGGUCUAGAUUGCAAGUCUUGGGCUGAGUUGACCAAACUAGGUGACUUUGACCUAGAUUUUGAAGGCUUUCGGGGUAGAUUUAGAACUUACUCCUUAAAUCAAAGUUGUUAAGGUCUUGAAGAUCUAAAACUUUGAUAUCGAGGUCAGCUUGAGUUUAUAUUGGAUAUUUCAAAAUAAAGAGCCCCAAAGUUGGGACUUAGUCUGUUUUUCUUAAAUGGACACAUACUUGUACUUUGAGUUUUUGAAGGUCUUCUGCUCAGAUUGCAGCAAAACACCAAAAAUAAAAGUUGUUAGGAAAGUUAUUUCUACAACUCUUAGUUGGACAUAUUUUUAAGUUCUUAAGCAAAAAUUUAAGUUACCGCUCAAACAACGUUUUAGCUUGUGAGGGGCAAAAGUGUCCUUUUACUUGCCUUCACCACUGCCAAAGUUCUUCUUUAUGCACUAAUGACUUUGUUUAAGAUUUAAACAUAGCCUAAUUAGGCUAGGUUGUUACAACCUGAUCCUACUCGGCAACCCUACACAGCACCACAAACAAAGGGGAAAUAUGCCAAAGUCCCAACGACAACCCACCUCCACGGCGCGAUGGGCACGAGGCAACGAUACAAUAUCCAUGUGAAGCUUAUUCUUAUCAUCAGGAAUCCAGAGCUAGUGUUCACAUGUGGCUCGUCCUUUUUUCAAAAAGACAAAGCUGAACGACGCUCCCGUAUGUCCCUCCUGACAGGGCAGCAACCUGCCGGUCAAAAUCCGAUAGCCCCUCCAUGGCUUCAAAAAGCACCAAAGGGUCUCGGGAGCUGCUGACGGGUCCAUAGACCCAAGGUCCCCAAUGGGACCACCUUUCCGCAACGCUCGGCCCAACAAGAGGCACAGCGACAACGCACGCCUGGGCCAGCCCAGAUAUGUGACGCCUGGGCCUGCAGCAAGGCACGGGCAGCGCGCUCACAUGGCGCGACCGGCCCCUGCGGUGGGGCACAGGCGGCGUGGCCGGACCCUGCAGCCAAGCCACGGGCGGGGCGAUGGGGCACGAGCGCCACGGCCGACCCCUGCGGUGGGGCACGGGCAACGUGAGUUGAUGGUGGGAAGGGUCAGGCACUAGAGGAGCCGCAGCGCCGGCGAAGAAGAACAAGCCGCCAACGCCAUUGGUUGCUCCGUCUGUUGUCCACGAAGGCUACGAUCCGUCGCGGGUACCUCACGAGCUGCCAUGCAAAUCUCUGCAUCCGCAUCCUGUAGCCAAUCAGUAUUAGUAGGGAGCUUAGCUUUUACUCGAUGUGUUACUUGUACUAGCUUUGUGGUUGAUAGCUUUGUGGUUGAUCUGUUAGCUUGUGCUCGAUUUGUGACCAUGUACUUCGAUUCGAUCCAUGACUAUGACUAUGACUGUGACUAGUUUAUCGAGAUUGGUUGUUCUGAACUUCUGUUUUCCCAUCUGUUUGCCGAGUGGUUGAUCCCUAUGGGUCGUCGGGGUUCGGGGAUCGACGGGGAUGGGUAGAAGUGGCAUGUGGCCACGGCCGUGCAUACAAUUUUUUUUAUUUUUUAAUUGAUUUGCAGGGCCGGGUCAUGGCGUUACCCGCCCCUAAAGAUAACUUUUCCAGGGCGGGUGAUGGCGUCACGCGCUCAUGAAAAUGCACUUCCAGGGGCAGGUGAUGGCGUCACCCGCCCCUGGAAACGGUUUUACAGGGGUGGGUCUGUUACCCGCUCUUAUAAACAGCUAUUUGGAGCUACGAAAGCUAGGAGUGAGUAGCGCACCCGUCCCUGCAAAUGUCGUUUCAACCGCUUUGAAAACCGUUUUUGUAGUAGUGAGUAUAGCCAACUUCCUGUACUUUGCUUGUGAUGGUGGUUUUUGCGUGGAUGCAACUCGCUCCAUAAAUUUUCUCUCGGUCGAUAAAAAAGAGCAACACAGAGCUAAAAUCCGAGCUUACAUGUAAGGUAUACUAUUUUCUUCCUUCCACCUCUCUUUUUUCCUACUUGCUCACAAAGAGCACAACCAUAGCUGAGCAUGCUUCGCUCCUCCUCCCAUUAAGGUCUCAGUUACUCGGACUCUCGGUCCAAUCCAACUGCGGUAACGUAUUCCCUCUAUUUCUCCUUUUGUCCACAGGUCACAUGGUGGAGCAACCAACUGACGGGAGUGAACCAGUGCACGUUAUAUUUGUAAUGGCAGAGUGGAUAAAUAUUGGUCCUGCAAUUCGUCAGAAACUGGUGUGGGAUGGGUCACUGGAUUUGGACCCUAGAGGGGUGUAAGCAAUGGAAUCUCAUUUUAAAAAGGGAAAAGUCAUAUUUUCACCCUUCAAUUAUUGCAAAAGUUUAAUUUUCAACCCAUAACUACAAAACCAGACAGAAAGGGCCAUUCAACUGUCAAAACCGGACAAAUUUGGCCCUUUGGUAGUUUUGAGGGUGGUUUUACAUUUUCUAGAAGUUUAAAAAGUUUUGGUUCAAUAAAAAAAUCAUAACUAAUUCAUUUAAAAUAAAAAAAUACGAAGUUGGUACCAAAAAUUUUCUAAAAAUGUAGUCUACUUGUUGAUACUCUAUUUGGAGUUGUUUACAUCAUAUUUGUUACUAUUAUAAUGUUUUAUUGCUUGUAAUAAAAUACAAUAAACAUGAACAACUAAGACUCAAAUAAUGCCAAAUAGUACACCAACAAAUAGUUUACAUUUUCAGACUUUUUUUGGCACCAAUUUGAUAUUUUUUGAUUUGAAAUGAAUUAGUUAUGAAUUUUUUAAUGAAAUGUAAACUUUUUAAAUUUCUAGAAAAUGCAAAACCACUCUUGAAACCACCCAAAGGGCCACAUUUGCUCAGUUUUAAUAGUUGGAUGGUCCUCGUUGUCCGAUUUUGUAGUUGUGGGUUGAAAAUUAGACUUAUGCUAUAAUUAAAGUGUGAAAAUAUGACUUUUUCCUUUUAAAAAUCAUAUAUUUUGUUUCAUGCAUGUUGUCGCACCCCAACUAUCUAUAUACGAACUUUGGUUGAUAACAAAGCCGACAGGCUGUACGAGGCACGCAGCACCAAUUUUAAUUGUAUAUGCCGGAGUACAAUAUCAACAUCGAUAAAAAGAGGCAGCGAUCGAAUAUCAACAGGAUAACAGGCAGAGAUCCAUGGUGAUGAUCGGAGCUAGCAGUACAAGCAAAGCUAGUAGGCGAAUGGAGGAGGAUCGGAGGAGCAACUGAACUUAGAUCUUGCCGCGCGGGCCCGGCACCGGCGGCUGCUGCGGCCCCUUCUUGAUCGGCAGGAGGUCCGGCGACGCCGACGCGCUGACGUAGGCCAGCAGGGAUCCGCCGCCC